UAAGGAAUAUUGGACAAUGGGCGCAAGCCUGAUCCAGCCAUGCCGCGUGAAGGAUGAAGGCCCUAUGGGUCGUAAACUUCUUUUAUACGGGACAAAACCCCUCGAUGCGUUGAGGGUUGAUGGUACUGUAAGAAUAAGGGUCGGCUAACUUCGUGCCAGCAGCCGCGGUAAUACGAAGGACCCGAGCGUUAUCCGGAUUUAUUGGGUUUAAAGGGUGCGUAGGCGGAUUAAUAAGUCAGUGGUGAAAGCCCGUCGCUUAACGGCGGAACUGCCAUUGAUACUGUUAGUCUUGAGUAUGGUUGAGGUGGGCGGAAUGUGUCAUGUAGCGGUGAAAUGCUUAGAUAUGACCCAGAACACCAAUUGCGAAGGCAGCUCGCUAAGCCAUAACUGACGCUGAUGCACGAAAGCGUGGGGAGCAAACAGG
rnacentral:rRNA from 1 species